GAUGAACGCUGGCGGCGUGCCUAAUACAUGCAAGUCGAGCGAAUGGAUUAAGAGCUUGCUCUUAUGAAGUUAGCGGCGGACGGGUGAGUAACACGUGGGUAACCUGCCCAUAAGACUGGGAUAACUCCGGGAAACCGGGGCUAAUACCGGAUAACAUUUUGAACCGCAUGGUUCGAAAUUGAAAGGCGGCUUCGGCUGUCACUUAUGGAUGGACCCGCGUCGCAUUAGCUAGUUGAUGAGGUAACGGCUCACCAAGGCAACGAUGCGUAGCCGACCUGAGAGGGUGAUCGGCCACACUGGGACUGAGACACGGCCCAGACUCCUACGGGGGGCAGCAGGAGGGAAUCUUCCGCAAUGGACGAAAGUCUGACGGAGCAACGCCGCGUGAGUGAUGAAGGCUUUCGGGUCGUAAAACUCUGUUGUUAGGGAAGAACAAGUGCUAGUUGAAUAAGCUGGCACCUUGACGGUACCUAACCAGAAAGCCACGGCUAACUACGUGCCAGCCGCCGCGGUAA
rnacentral:rRNA from 1 species